GGGGUGCUGUGGCAUCUGACAGCAGGGCGGGGUGGAACGAGCGCGACCCCUACCUCGCGGCAGCGGCCCCCACGCGAGCUCUCAGGGGCGCCGCCGCCUCCUUGCAGCACCAGCCGCCGGCUCUGGAGGCCACGCCCACCGCGCGCCUGACCAAUCCCCGGCCCGCGCCGCUGCUCUAGCCGCAGCCCGCCCCUGCCAAUGAGCGAGUUGCUGCCGUCUCCCCGCCCACCCUCCUGUUUGUUAUGGUCCGGGCCACGUGCCGCCGGCUCAGCUUGUCACGCGGCAGGGCCUCGCGCCGCCCCCACCGCCGUCCUACCUCGUCUGUCCGGAAGGAAGGAGACACAGAAAGAAAACGGAGAUUGAGACACACUGAAACAGCAUAAUCAAAAAAUUGAAACAUGAGACUGUGAGCUAAGACAACUGGAAGCAGCGGGCAUUGUGAAAAAGGAGGAUUUUCCUGAAUGUAUCUUUAAUUAUUCAGAAGACAUAUGUGAUCAUGUGAAUGUGGCUAGCAGAAGAGAGGUGGCUCUAGUGCAUGUUGCAUUCUGGAUUUGUUUUGUGCCUGCGAGGAGUUGAAUUCCUGAGCACUGAAGAAGAUCUAACCAUAUUUGCACCGGCUCUGCUCAUGACAGUACAGUGGGGCAGGUAAGUGCCAAGAAGGAACUGGGAGGCUCUAACUUUUCCAAGGCUCAGGAUUAUGCAAUGAAGAAGAAUAUUUUAGAAGCUAAAGAGAGAGGUCAGAACACCCUGG